ACGGGUAUUUUUAAGUUUUAGGAUUUUGGACCCCUGAGUAUUAUAGCAGACUUUUUAAAAAUAGAAAUUCGACUGCGAAAAAUUUCUUUUGAAUUAAUUGAUAUUGUAUUCAGGAAUGAGGCAAACAAAUUUAAAUUUUUUUACAGUAAUUUAAUUGCCCUUAAUAGCUUACAAAAAUCUCUAUUUUUUCAUGUGUGAACCGACUGCGACUCUUUAGCGAAUGAAAUAUGGUCACAUAAUCUCAGCAGGUACACUACGUACACGACAAUAUCAGCUGCACAGUUGGCUUCGGAAACGAGAUUCCGGGAGCGGCCAUGAAUGAAAAACCGUGUGUUGGAUGGUCAAGUCCAAGCCCAUUCGGCAUGUACACUCUAGUGUGCGUAGGUCCCGAUAUGCCAACAUUGCUCAAAGCACCAAAAUAUCGUAGUUUCUUGCAUUGGCACGUAGGAAACAUUCGAAACGAUAAUAAUACGGUUGGGGGUGAAACCAGAGUGGAAUACGUUGGUAUUGUCAAACCUAAUUAUGGACCUGGAAAACAUCGCAUAGUUUUCAUAUUGUACAGGCAAAAUCAAGAUGCGGAAUUGUAUUACGUAACGGACGUCAUGACAGAAGAUGGCGACAUGGAUGAACGAGAAUUUUUUGAACCGAGAGUGAUGACAAAAGAGAAUCACAUGGGUAAACCGAUUGGAGUCAAUUAUUUCUGGGUCACAACUGCCGACUAAGAGGAUGAUUCAAGCAUGACCAUGAUCUGGAUCAUAAGAGCGUACGCAGAGAGGAAGAAUAAGACAGCUCGAGUUCAGAUCAAAUUUCUUCGGCAGAAACAACCAAGGCUCAGCAAGAAUUGCCAGAUUGGAAGUGAGGUACGUGCCAUGCACAAAUCCAACGAACGCAAAUGCCCGGUUUUAUUACAACGACGGAUCACAAAGACUUCACUCACAUGGUCCAUCUGCAUCCCUUAAGGAUUUCCCUAGAAACCCCUCACUAGGGUCCUAUAGGGACUUCCUCGGAGUCCCCUCGUUGGAGUCCUUGCCGCCAUCGGAAUCAGCAUCGCCCUCACGAAUACCGUAUUCACGAAUGUCGUCUCGACCGUCGUCCUUCAGAUAUCAAGAUCAACCCCUAGAUUAAUCCCCUGGAUGACCCUUCAAAGAUUAAGUAGAAAGCCUGAAGAAACUCCUCAAUUUUUUUUUUUAAGUAUACUUUAUUGUUAGCUUCCAACAGGGAAAUAUAAACAAUUUGCUUAAAUUACGAGGUAAUUUUAUAACAAAGCAACGACAUGCUCAUCGCUUAUUAACAUAAGAUUAAGGAGAAAAAAUAAUAAUUUUCUACAUAGUAGAACAAUUAUAUUAGCUUGAAAAAUAGAAAAGAACAUCCAGUAGAUAAAUUUAAGAUUAAGGAUGAUUAAUUUAAGGUAGAAAUAAGUUAUGCAAGUUUUUUAAAAAUCGGAAUCAGCGUUAGUGACAAGCUCCCAAGGCUUUUCCCUCUUAAGUCUCCUUAUUUCUUCAAUAUUAUUUAAAAGUUCAAUAGCUGUUUCGUUUGGAAUACGAUGUAUCCUGUCUUCGUAUCUUUGCGAAAUUUUUUGAAUAUAUUACUCAAUUUCCUUAAUAUUUUAGACCGCAUCGAUUGCAAUGAUUUUAAACUAGUUUUGGGGACACAUCCCCAAAUUUGGCAACCAUAAGCCCAAGUGGGUCUUAUAAUUUGCUUGUAUAAUAAUAACUCAUUAUCUAAUGACAGGGAGGACUUUUUACUGAAACUCCUCAAUAAGAUACAAAAAUUGUUACAUUUAUAAGAGCCUUCACAGUAAGGAAGAUAAAACAAAAUCUUGUGUUAGUAUGUUUCAACGAUCCUGGGUGUUUCCCUGGACAUUUUGAAAGCACUUAGUGCGACACAAAAUAAAGGGGAAAAAAAUCUUCAGAGUGAGAUCACCAAAACUUGAGUUGAAAAUAUACAAACUUGUUACAUUUAUAAGAGCAUACACAGGAAGAAAGAGUAACCAAAAUAUUACGUUAAUAUGUUUCUACGAAUCUGAGCGUUCCCUCGGAAAUUUUAAGACCCACCUAGAGCGAUACACGCACACACCCAAAAAAAAAGAGAAAAAUAGGAAGUAACACACGAAGUAACUGAAGCUAUUGGUUGAUUUUUAUGUACUUGGAUUUCCCGUGUCAAAUCUACUAAAUCUUUGGGUUGUGGUGACCAAAAUUUUGUGUUGAAAAUCUGUAACCUCGUUAAAAUUAUUAUUCGCCAGCCUCCAGGAUAGCAUCGUUGGAAAUCCAAAACGCUAGCCACUCGCAAGUCGCGAGCACUGAAAAAGGGUAGGAAAACAAGAAAACAUAUUUUCGGCAGGACACUUUCUCCGUGAUUCAAUAUCUCAGAGAAGCCUACGGUUUGGAUCGGUUUAACACAAAAGCAACCAGGUGUAGGUGGACGUGACACAAUAAAAAAAAACACAAAGUAACACAGAGUGACAUCAAGCACGGACAUUUUUAUCUGUGUAUUUCCACUGUGUGUGUUCUUACCAAGUGUAGGUGAACGUGACACAAUAAAAGAAACACAAAGUAAUAACACAGAGUGACAUCAAGCACGGACAUUUUUAUUCGUGUAUUUCUACCGUUUUUCAAUCACCAAAUUUUUUGCUGCCCAAACGGCGUGUUCUUAGUCGUUCCACAAUCGGUUUUUUUGGGCCGUUCAAAUAAAUAAUUUAGUGGGGGCUGGACUUGCUUUAUGAGGUCUUACAAGGGAGAGGGGGUCAAGCACAGUCUUUCGUAAGCCUUACUCAUUUUUUAAAAAGAAGUCUGAUUUCCGAUAAAAUAUUUAUUUUUAAGUAUUCUCCAGGCUAUUUAAGGUUAUUUUCUGACUAAUGGGAGGGGGAUGGAGCCAAGCCAGAGAGAGGCCUUCAACAGAGGACCAUAAUGGAUAAUUUUAUGGAAAGAACUUUGAAAAUUUAAAUUUGAGUAAUGGAUCCUACCGAGAAAAUUUAAUGGUUUGCCGUCAUAAAAAUAAAGACAUGUCACAAAAAUUGCAGUUUUGAGAUAGCCAGUGCUGUGUAAGUAAUUUAGUCGCAACUUAGACUUACUUGGAAAGUUUUUUAUUGGUUACAUUAAGUAAAAGCUUACCGGCUAUCGCCAUUGCCAGAACUUCAGCAGAAAAAAUAAUUGAUACUUUACAUUUGAACUAUACCGUAGUAACUUCAGAAAUAAAGAGAAUAGGGACUAUUGCAGCUAUUGCAGCUUUUGCAAAUUUUUCAGUUCCGCUCAACCCACCUCGAGCUUGACGAAAUUGAAGCGUUUUUUUAUUUUAUUUUUCGCAGUGGCACAUAAUUAUAUUUUUCCUAGCUUGGUUGGCUAUUUUAAAUUUUUUUAAUACUUCUAUCAGUCUUCUAUCGUUGGAAUUAUGUAAAAUUUUCAAACUACUGUUAUUGAUAGUAUGGUUGGAAUCACCUACAUGUUUGUAUACAUUAGAACAACUUCUUUUAAGUGUUCUUAAAGAUAUUUUUGGAGUUAGUUAGAGUAAGCUGUAUCUUAGUUGUAAAGGGAGGAGGGAGGGCUUUUUGACCAUUUAUAAUGUUUGUAUGACUGUGCCUUUAUGAAUAAAAUUUAUACAUUUUA